UACAUAGGUCUCAAGCGUUGUUCGGAUUCAUUGGGCGUAAAGGGUGCGUAGGCGGCGCGGUAAGUCGGGUGUGAAAUCUCGGAGCUUAACUCCGAAACUGCAUUCGAUACUGCCGUGCUUGAGGACUGGAAAGGAGACUGGAAUUUACGGUGUAGCGGUGAAAUGCGUAGAUAUCGUAAGGAAGACCAGUGGCGAAGGCGGGUCUCUGGACAGUUCCUGACGCUGAGGCACGAAGGUCAGGGGAGCAAACGGG
rnacentral:rRNA from 1 species